GACGAACGCUGGCGGCGUGCCUAAUACAUGCAAGUCGAACGCAGUGGGGACGGGUGAUUAACACGUGGGUAACCUCCCAUCAGAGGGGAUAACCCUUGGAUACAGGUGCUAAACCGAUACUGAUGGAUGGACCCGCGGGGCAGUAGCUAGUGGGUGAGGUAACGGCUCACCAAGGCCACGAUGCAUAGCCGACCUGAGGGGGUGAUCGGCCAAGCUGGGACUGAGACACGGCCCAGACUCCUACGGGAGGCAGCAGUAGGGAAUCUUCGGCAAUGGACGAAAGUCUGACCGAGCAACGCCGCGUGAGUGAAGAAGGUUUUCGGAUCGUAAAACUCUGUUGUUAGAGAAGCGGUAUCUAACCAGAAAGCCACGGCUAACUACGUGCCAGCCGCCGCGGUAAUUC
rnacentral:rRNA from 1 species